GGCCUAUUGGUUAUAAUUUUAGGUCUAGCCUGCCCACUGAUUUUUAAAGGGCCGCGGUAUUUUGACCGUGCAAAGGUAGCAUAAUCAUUAGUUUUUUAAUUGGAAGCUGGAAUGAAGGGUUGAAUGAGAAAAUAGCUGUCUCUGUAAAAUUUAUUUAAAACUUUAUUUUUAAGUUAAAAAGCUUAACUUAACUUUAAAGACGAGAAGACCCUAUAGAGUUUUAUAUAAAAUUAUAUAUAAAUUGAUUAGAAAUUUUUGAUACUUAUAUAGUUUUAUAUUUGAUUGGGGUGAUUGAAAAAUUUAAUAAACUUUUUUUAUAUAAUAACAUUUAUUAAUGAAAAUAUGAUCCUUUUUUAAGAUUAUAAGAUUAAAUUACCUUAGGGAUAACAGCGUAAUUUUUUUUGAGAGUUCAAAUCGAAAAAAAAGAUUGCGACCUCGAUGUUGGAUUAAAGUUAAGUUUUGGUGUAGAAGCUAAAAAUUUAGGUCUGUUCGACCUUUUAAACUUUACA
rnacentral:rRNA from 1 species